AAUGUAAUCACCGAUGGAUGCCCCUCA
rnacentral:sRNA from 1 species